UACGUAGGGUGCUAGCGUUACUCGGAAUCAUUGGGCGUAAAGGGUGUGUAGGCGGAAUAGUAAGUCAGAUGUGAAAGCCUUGGGCUUACCCCAAGAAGUGCAUUUGAUACUGCUAUUCUAGAGUUCGGGAGAGGGAGGCAGAAUUCCAGGUGUAGAGGUGAAAUCCGUAGAUAUCUGGAGGAAUACCGGAGGCGAAGGCGGCCUCCUGGACCGAUACUGACGCUGAGACACGAAAGCGUGGGGAGCAAACAGGAUUAGAUACCCUGGUAGUCCACGCCCUAAACGAUGGUUACUAGAUGAGGUGGGAUUUGACCCCUACCGUAUCGAAGCUAACGCGAUAAGUAACCCGCCUGGGGAGUACGGCCGCAAGGCUAAA
rnacentral:rRNA from 1 species